UGUCUGGACAAGGAGGCCUCGGCACUGGUGUAGGUUUUCUGAGAGUGAACCCAGUCCAUUUUCUUUGACAGUGGAACUGAUUCAGUGUUGCUGAAGUGAAUGUCUUCAUCAGUGGGGCUGUCCCUGGCCAUCCUGUCAGUGCCUUCAGAGGUUCUUGCAACAAGACAGCCCUUUCCAGCAGCUCCUCUACUGAAAGCAGUGAAAGAAAUUAUACAACAAUCGAGACUUCUGCAAAACCAGAGGUUCUUUUUGGCUGGAACCACAAGGGAGUGAAGAAGCUCAACUCAGAGCAAAGCAUUUCGGCAGCAUCAGCAUAAAAUCCAAAUAUACCUUCUAACUUGCCAUUCUAGGUUUUAGAAAAAGCAUCUGGCAAUAAAUCUUACCUGUAUUGAAUGUGAAUCUUGUUGUGCCUCCUCUGCUUACACCAAGGGGCACAAUGCUAAAGGUAAGAUGUGGUAGAUGCAGCUUCUCUCCUCUCAAAACCUUUCA